CCCAGCAAGCCCUUCCACUCCACUGCAGGGAGAGGGGCCCAGGUCGUCCUGGCUACCUCUUCUCCUUAGUGGGCGUUUACUAAUCUGGACUUCAUCCCAGGUCCUUUCGUUGGGGGAGGCACAGAGAUACGGAAACACGGCUGUUCGUGUACUGUGUUUGAGCGUCCCUCGUCCCUCGGGGGUCCUUCGCUCAUCCAUUCGACGUCUAGAGAAGGAGUCAGGGAUCCAGACUGGAAGAGGACCAGGACCCUCCGCUGUGCAGUUGCUGUCUCUGGGGUGGCCGGUGUGAACCGUUAAUGGCCCAGCGAGGAGUCAGUGCUGGACCCGGGCAGCGAGGGCCGGGGAGGCGUGCUGGUGCCAUCCGUGGGCCCUUCCAAGGAGGUGACACUGGAGCCCUGUGUGUCUGGAGUGGGGCGCUCUUCAGGAGGUGGAUUUCACCUUGUCUCCCACCCAGAGCAACCUGGCCCUGUCUGCAGAGCGCUGGACUAGGUGCACAGCUCACCUGUGCUUGUCGCUGGCCCUACCUCACCAGCCCUUCCAGCGGCAGUUGUGAGGCGGUUCCUCAGCACUGUAUCGGCGCUGUGGGGUGGGCGCAUGCGUCCUGGGAGUUGUGAGGGAAGACAGCGACCUCUGAGGAGAUGCAGCCUCUCCACGCUCCACCACCUGGCGGAGCAGAGACCACUCAGCAUGUCACUUCCUGUGGUCGGGCCACACUAUCCUGCUGGACAGGAUGCACCUCCUGGUAUUCUGCGCACAUGCUUCUGGGCCACACAGCCAAGUGCUGACCCAGAGAGGACAGAGCAAGCUUUGAUGGGGCGGGUCUUUGAGGAGGGAGCAUCGAGAGGUUGCUCCCAGGGAACAGAGCCGGCCCCUAGGAGUGACCGAAGCGGCUCACCUUCUGAGCUGUGGUCCUGCAGAGACAAGCCCAGCCUCACACUCCCAGAAUGUGACAGAAAGGAGGAGUCUGGGUCCCUCUGAGUGACCCAGGA
rnacentral:lncRNA from 1 species